rnacentral:rRNA from 1 species
CAAGUCGCACGAGAAAGCAGGAGCAAUCCUGUGAGUACAGUGGCGUACGGGUGAGUAACACGUGGGUAAUCUAACCUUUAGUGGGGAAUAACGCUGGGAAACCGGCGCUAAUACCGCAUAAUCUCGGGAGAGGAAAGCAGCAAUGCGCUGAAGGAGGAGCCCGCGGCCGAUUAGCUAGUUGGGAGGGUAAAAGCCUACCAAGGCAUAGAUCGGUAGCCGGCCUGAGAGGGCACACGGCCACACUGGCACUGAAACACGGGCCAGACUCCUACGGGAGGCAGCAGUGGGGAAUCUUGCACAAUGGGGGCAACCCUGAUGCAGCGACGCCGCGUGAGCGAUGAAGCCCUUCGGGGUGUAAAGCUCUUUCGGCAGGGACGAUAAUGACGGUACCUGCAGAAGCAGCUGCGGCUAACUACGUGCCAGCAGCCGCGGUAAUACGUAGGCAGCGAGCGUUGUUCGGAGUUACUGGGCGUAAAGGGUGUGUAGGCGGUUUUCUAAGUUUGGUGUGAAAUCUCCCGGCUUAACCGGGAGGGUGCGCCGAAAACUGGGAGACUAGAGUGCGGGAUGGGAGAGUAGAAUUCCUGGUGUAGCGGUGAAAUGCGUAGAUAUCAGGAGGAAUACCGGUGGUGCAGACGGCUCUCUGGACCGCAACUGACGCUGAGACACGAAAGCGUGGGUAGCAAACAGGAUUAGAUACCCUGGUAGUCCACGCCCUAAACGAUGCAUAUUUGGUGUAGGUCAUUCAGUUGAUCUGUGCCGGAGCUAACGCGUUAAAUAUGCCGCCUGGGGAGUACAGUCGCAAGGCUGAAACUCAAAGGAAUUGACGGGGGCCCGCACAA